AGUGAACGCUGGCGGUAGGCCUAACACAUGCAAGUCGAACGGCAGCACAGGAGAGCUUGCUCUCUGGGUGGCGAGUGGCGGACGGGUGAGGAAUACAUCGGAAUCUACUCUGUCGUGGGGGAUAACGUAGGGAAACUUACGCUAAUACCGCAUACGACCUACGGGUGAAAGCAGGGGACCUUCGGGCCUUGCGCGAUUGAAUGAGCCGAUGUCGGAUUAGCUAGUUGGCGGGGUAAAGGCCCACCAAGGCGACGAUCCGUAGCUGGUCUGAGAGGAUGGUCCGCCACACUGGAACUGAGACACGGUCCAGACUCCUACGGGAGGCAGCAGUGGGGAAUAUUGGACAAUGGGCGCAAGCCUGAUCCAGCCAUACCGCGUGGGUGAAGAAGGCCUUCGGGUUGUAAAGCCCUUUUGUUGGGAAAGAAAUCCAGCUGGCUAAUACCCGGUUGGGAUGACGGUACCCAAAGAAUAAGCACCGGCUAACUUCGUGCCAGCCGCCGCAGUAA
rnacentral:rRNA from 1 species